UAAAAUAUGCAAAAUGAACUUUAGCAAUCCUGACAGAAGAUACCUUAGAAGCUACUAGUAGUAAAAUUUUCUCAAGGUAAAAAGUAAAAAAAAAACGUUUUAAAUAUCUUGGAUUUAUUGUUUAACGGGAAGGGGAGAAUGAUGAAGAUAUUAUUUGUGGAACUAAUGCAAAAUGUUAAAGAGUAGAUGGGUGUUAGGAGUACUGUAUGUUCAUUGUGUGCCUCUUAGGUUGAAAGAAAAAAUUUAUAUGAUUGUUAUAAGAUAAACUAUGCUUUAUGGUUUUGAUUCUGUAAUUAGUUUUAUUAAUUUUUG
rnacentral:lncRNA from 1 species